GCAAGUCGAACGGGAAUCUUCGGAUUCUAGUGGCGGACGGGUGAGUAACGCAUAAGAAUCUAACUUCAGGACGGGGACAACAGUUGGAAACGACUGCUAAUACCCGAUGUGCCGCAAGGUGAAAACUAAUUGGCCUGAAGAAGAGCUUGCGUCUGAUUAGCUAGUUGGUGGGGUAAGAGCCUACCAAGGCGACGAUCAGUAGCUGGUCUGAGAGGAUGAGCAGCCACACUGGGACUGAGACACGGCCCAGACUCCUACGGGAGGCAGCAGUGGGGAAUUUUCCGCAAUGGGCGAAAGCCUGACGGAGCAACGCCGCGUGAGGGAGGAAGGUCUUUGGAUUGUAAACCUCUUUUCUCAAGGAAGAAGUUCUGACGGUACUUGAGGAAUCAGCCUCGGCUAACUCCGUGCCAGCAGCCGCGGUAAUACGGGGGAGGCAAGCGUUAUCCGGAAUUAUUGGGCGUAAAGCGUCCGCAGGUGGUCAGCCAAGUCUGCCGUCAAAUCAGGUUGCUUAACGACCUAAAGGCGGUGGAAACUGGCAGACUAGAGAGCAGUAGGGGUAGCAGGAAUUCCCAGUGUAGCGGUGAAAUGCGUAGAGAUUGGGAAGAACAUCGGUGGCGAAAGCGUGCUACUGGGCUGUAUCUGACACUCAGGGACGAAAGCUAGGGGAGCGAAAGGGAUUAGAUACCCCUGUAGUCCUAGCCGUAAACGAUGGAUACUAGGCGUGGCUUGUAUCGACCCGAGCCGUGCCGA
rnacentral:rRNA from 1 species